rnacentral:rRNA from 1 species
CUAUGCGCCUUGCCAGCCCGCUCAGGUGUGCCAGCCGCCGCGGUAAUACGUAGGUGGCAAGCGUUGUCCGGAAUUACCUGGGUGUAAAGGGAGCGUAGGCGGGAAAGCAAGUUGAAUGUUUAAGGUACGGGCUCAACCUGUACAAGCGUUCAAAACUGUUUUCUUGAGUGGAGUAGAGGUAAGCGGAAUUCCUAGUGUAGCGGUGAAAUGCGUAAAUAUUAGGAGGAACACCAGUGGCGAAGGCGGCUCUCUGGACUGCAACUGACACUGAGGCACGAAAGCGUGGGGAGCAAACAGG